CCUACGGGAGGCUGCAGUGGGGAAUAUUGGACAAUGGGGGGAACCCUGAUCCAGCCAUGCCGCGUGUGUGAAGAAGGCCCUCGGGUUGUAAAGCACUUUCAGUGAGGAAGAACGCCUGGUGGUUAAUACCCAUCAGGAAAGACAUCACUCACAGAAGAAGCACCGGCUAACUCCGUGCCAGCAGCCGCGGUAAUACGGAGGGUGCGAGCGUUAAGCGGAAUUACUGGGCGUAAAGCGCGCGUAGGUGGCUUGAUAAGCCGGUUGUGAAAGCCCCGGGCUCAACCUGGGAACGGCAUCCGGAACUGUCAAGCUAGAGUGCAGGAGAGGAAGGUAGAAUUCCCGGUGUAGCGGUGAAAUGCGUAGAGAUCGGGAGGAAUACCAGUGGCGAAGGCGGCCUUCUGGACUGACACUGACACUGAGGUGCGAAAGCGUGGGUAGCAAACAGGAUUAGAUACCCCAGUAGUC
rnacentral:rRNA from 1 species